CCGCGGUAAGACAGAGGUGGCGAGCGUUGUUCGGAUUUACUGGGCGUAAAGCGUGCGUAGGCGGUGGCGUGUGUCCGAUGUGAAAUUCCGGGGCUUAACCCCGGAGCUGCAUCGGAAACUGCGCUGCUUGAGGACAGGAGGGGGAAGCGGAAUUCCAGGUGUAGCGGUGAAAUGCGUAGAUAUCUGGAAGAACACUCGUGGCGAAGGCGGCUUCCUGGCCUGUUUCUGACGCUGAGGCACGAAAGCGUGGGGAGCAAACAGGAUUAGAUACCCUGGUAGUCCACGCCCUAAACGAUGGAUGCCAAGCGUUGGAGGUAUCGAUCCCUCCAGUGCCGCACCUAACGGUUUAAGCAUCCCGCCUGGGGAGUACGGACGNAUGGUUG
rnacentral:rRNA from 1 species